rnacentral:rRNA from 1 species
UAACGACUCUCGGCAACGGAUAUCUUGGCUCUCGCAUCGAUGAAGAACGUAGCGAAAUGCGAUACUUGGUGUGAAUUGCAGAAUCCCGUGAACCAUCGAGUUUUUGAACGCAAGUUGCGCCCCAAGCCGUUAGGCUGAGGGCACGUCUGCCUGGGUGUC